AGGAAAGCAGGGGAUCGCAAGACCUUGCGCUUUUGGAGCGGCCGAUGUCUGAUUAGCUAGUUGGUGAGGUAAAGGCUUACCAAGGCUUUGAUCAGUAGCUGGUCUGAGAGGACGACCAGCCACACUGGGACUGAGACACGGCCCAGACUCCUACGGGAGGCAGCAGUGGGGAAUUUUGGACAAUGGGGGAAACCCUGAUCCAGCCAUGCCGCGUGAGUGAAGAAGGCCUUCGGGUUGUAAAGCUCUUUCAGCCGGAACGAAAAGGUUACGGUUAAUACCCGUGACUAACGACGGUACCGGAAGAAGAAGCACCGGCUAACUACGUGCCAGCAGCCGCGGUAAUACGUAGGGUGCGAGCGUUAAUCGGGAUUACUGGGCGUAAAGCGUGCGCAGGCGGUUUUGUAAGUCAGAUGUGAAUCCCCGGGCUCAACCUGGGNAACUGCGUUUGAAACUACAAGGCU
rnacentral:rRNA from 1 species